GUUAAGCGACUAAGCGUACACGGUGGAUGCCCUGGCAGUCAGAGGCGAUGAAGGGCGUGCUAAUCUGCGAUAAGCGCCGGUAAGGUGAUAUGAACCGUUAUAACCGGCGAUACCCGAAUGGGGAAACCCAGUGUGAUUCGUCACACUAUCAUUAACUGAAUCCAUAGGUUAAUGAGGCGAACCGGGGGAACUGAAACAUCUAAGUACCCCGAGGAAAAGAAAUCAACCGAGAUUCCCCCAGUAGCGGCGAGCGAACGGGGAGGAGCCCAGAGCCUGAAUCAGCAUGUGUGUUAGUGGAAGCGUCUGGAAAGGCGCGCGAUACAGGGUGACAGCCCCGUACACAAAAGCGCAUGUGCUGUGAGCUCGAUGAGUAGGGCGGGACACGUGGUAUCCUGUCUGAAUAUGGGGGGACCAUCCUCCAAGGCUAAAUACUCCUGACUGACCGAUAGUGAACCAGUACCGUGAGGGAAAGGCGAAAAGAACCCCGGCGAGGGGAGUGAAAAAGAACCUGAAACCGUGUACGUACAAGCAGUGGGAGCCCCACCACUAAGCCAGUGGUGAACUCCACAUCCGCAUCCUU
rnacentral:rRNA from 1 species